rnacentral:rRNA from 1 species
ACUUGUUCUUUAAAUAAGGACUAGUAUGAAUGGCAUCACGAAGGUUAUACUGUCUCCCCUUUUUAAUCAGUGAAACUAAUCUCCCCGUGAAGAAGCGGGGAUAAAACUAUAAGACGAGAAGACCCUAUGGAGCUUUAGACUAAGCAACUUUUGUUAUUUUAACACUUACACCCUCCGGAAAUAUAACUAUAUUUUAUCAUAUUGAUUGCUUGUCUUAGGUUGGGGUGACCGCGGAGCACAACAUAACCUCCACAAUGAAAGAAACUUAAUUUCUUAGCCCAGAAUUACAAUUCUAAGUACCAAAAAUUUGACAUAAAUUGACCCAAUAAAUUGAUCAACGAACCAAGUUACCCUAGGGAUAACAGCGCAAUCUACUUCAAGAGCCCCUAUCGACAAGUAG